CGCGAAAAUAGUUGAGCUAAGUAAUAGUUUAUUCUUAGAUUUCCUUAUGUGGCAUAAUACAAUUAAAUAAUUACUUAGGAGUGAAAGGCCUUUCAAAUCUAUAGAUAUCUCGAUACUUUCAAUAUACAUAUAGUGUAAUGUCAACUAAAUAAUGAUAAGGUUGUUUAGUAUCGCAAAAAGAUUAUUGUAUUAUUAUUAUUUUGGUUUAACCGCCUAAUAAUUAGACAAAGUAACAUAUUUUUAUUCUAAUUGCGUUAAUUAGAAAGUAACAUAUAAACAACUAUUAAUGUAAAUAAUGUAAUUAUUAGUAAUUACUAGUUACUUACAAUGAACUCGGCAAUAUACCUUUCAACUGUUUACCAAAAACAUAGUUAUGAGAAUGUAUUCAUAAUGAUUUCUGCUCCAUGAUUUAUUAAAUAGCCGCAGUACCCUGACUGUGCAAAGGUAGCGUAAUAAUUUGACUUAUAAUUAAAGUCUUGUAUGAAAGAAUUUAUGGGGGGUAACUUUAUUUUAAGUAAAAAGUGAAUUUAUUUAUUAAGUGCAAAUUCUUAUAAUUAAAAGACAGACGAGAAGACCCUAGAAAUUUUUAUAAUAGUGUUAUAUUUUUUUUUUGUUGGGGCAACAAAGUAACAAGAAACUUACUUUAUAUUAACACGCAUAUAAUGUAUGUUAGAUUAAAUUACUCUAGGGAUAACAGCGUGAUUUAUAAAAGUUUGCGACCUCGAUGUUGGACUAGGAAUCAAAUACUUAGAA
rnacentral:rRNA from 1 species